rnacentral:rRNA from 1 species
GAUAAACGCUGGCGGCGUGCCUAACACAUGCAAGUCGAACGCCCUUACGCAAGUAAGGGAGUGGCGGACGGGUGAGGAACACGUGGGUGAUCUGCCUUGAGGUGAGGAAUACCGGCGAGAAAUCGCCGACAAUACCGCAUACGUUCGCAAGAACAAAGUCGCAAGACGCCUUGAGAUGAGCCUGCGUCCGAUUAGCUAGUUGGUGGGGUAAAAGCCUACCAAGGCAGCGAUCGGUAGCUGGUCUGAGAGGACGAUCAGCCACACUGGGAUUGAGAAC